AUUAACUGAACAUAGGAAGGAUGCAUGCUUGAAGGAAGUUGUGUAACACACCUAGAGGUGGCUAAGCCUUUCACAACUCAGUGAAAUGUGUGUAUCAGUACCAUGGCAUGCUCUUUAAAGCUUCUUCCUGCCGAGCAGUAAUAUCACAUCUUACUUCCUGUUGGAGGCGUGGUUUUGAGGCUCUUAUCAGACACCUCUAACGCUGCUGUUGAAUCAUUCUCCUCUUUUUUAGUCUUUGUAUGAUAGAUUAACCACAGCAUGGUCUGAAAUAAGGACUGAAAUAGAUUGCAUUCAUGUUUCAGUAGAAACAUCUGAAUACUGUGGAGUUGGGUUACAAUGGACAAUCAAAAUUCACUGGAAGUGGUGGAACCCCUUAGUAGGGGGCUAUUCCUUUAAAUACAACACACAUCCAUACCAUCUACCAGCAUGGAGAAGAGCCAGUGGAAUUUACCCUAUAAUGUUUGAGACAACAACAUAGACCAUGUUGUGGGUGAUAAGAGGGGGUCAGCGGUCAUGCUGGCAGAGGAUAAGACCACAUGAGCUUGCAUUACUGACGGGCUAUCCUGGCACAGUUGAGGCUUGCAUCUGUCUUGUGCAGACACCGUCGAACUGGCUGCUCUCGCACGGCAUCGGCGUUCCCUUUCAGACUCCUGUGCAUCUUCCAAGCUCCGCUGAACUGUGAUCCUGGACUAAGCCUCCUGUCUGAUCCCUCGGGACUUCCUGGACUCUGCCUAUGCGUGAUGACUCUGUACUGGAUCGAACUGGAAUUGGAAUUUCCUCAUACAGGCCUUCAGCACCUAAGGCACAGAGCUAACCCCACACCAUCUACCCUUCAACAGCCUGCAUAAAAAAUUAAUAAAUAUCUCUCACACUUA